rnacentral:rRNA from 1 species
AUUGAACGCUGGCGGCAGGCUUAACACAUGCAAGUCGAACGAGUGGCGGACGGGUGAGUAAUGCUUGGGAAUCUAGCUUAUGGAGGUGGAUAACUACUGUAAACUGUCGCUAAUACCGCGUACCAUAGGAUGAGCCCAAGUGGGAUUAGGUAGUUGGUGAGGUAAAGGGUCACCAAGCCGACGAUCUCUAGCUGGUCUGAGAGGAUGACGGGCCACACUGGGAAUGAGACACGGUCCAGACUCCUACGGUAGGCAGCAGUGGGGAAUAUUGCGCAAUGGGGGCAUCCUGACGCAGCCAUGCCGCGUGAGUGAAGAAGGCUGUCGGGUUGUAAAGUUCUUUCGGUAGCGAGGCGUUACCUACAGAAGAAGCACCGGCUAACUCCGUGCCAGCAGCCGCGGUAAUAC